GACGUAGGAGGCGAGCGUUGUCCGGAUUUACUGGGCGUAAAGCGCGCGCAGGCGGCCCUGGGCGCUGCCGGUGAAAGCUCCCGGCUUACCUGGGAGAGGUUCGGCAGGACGGCAGGGCUGGAGGGUGGGAGAGGUCGGUGGAAUUCCCGGUGUAGUGGUGAAAUGCGUAGAGAUCGGGAGGAACACCCGUAGCGAAGGCGGCCGACUGGACCACACCUGACGCUGAGGCGCGAAGGCCAGGGGAGCGAACGGG
rnacentral:rRNA from 1 species